rnacentral:ncRNA from 1 species
AACGUAAUGCAGGGGAACCCGGAGGCAACGGCCGGGUUGAGAGUGGCGUGAGCCUGACCCUUGGAACCUGUUGGUUGAGACCAUCGUAGGGAGCAGCGAUAUGAGCGAU